CACGCAAUUAGACAGUUUGUUCCAUAACAAAAUCUAGUAUGCCUUGAAGUUUCAACAGUAUCUCGCAGAAAUAGUAUGUGCUUCUACUCAGGCGUAGUACGAAGAAAGAAGCCAAAAAAAACUUACAUGACGGCCAGUUCUUGGACACAGUUGCCUAGCAAAAUCUGAUAAAUAGGAUACAAUUCAGUCAGCAAGCAGUGAGCAGGAGCAGUGUAAUCGAAUCAAAUACGACCUCCGAUUAUUCUCAAAUAUCGUAUAAAAUUGUGAAAACUUGGGAUAGACGCAGAAUCAAAUACGUCAAAUUGCACUGGAUAAGCGCAGCUGAUAUAUCAACUCACUUUGGCUGAAACCUACCAAUUGAUCGUGCAGAGAACAUCGAAUUACAUAUAAAUGAGGCAAAGACCAAACCAAACUGAAAAACCAAACUGAUGGUGGCAACAUCAGCAGCCUUUCCAACUAGUCCAAAUAUACGGAGGGACACUUUACCUUCGACAAUAGCAUAGAAACUGAGUUGCGUGCCAACCGGUCUGAGAAAGCAGUUCACCUCAAAGAACAUAAAGCGACUGACGAUCGCCCCUAUAUAGUAAUAGAAAUCGCAUAUGCCUCUCAGACAUGGACACUGUCCAUAUCUUUUUGUCCGUCCAAAAGGGCAAAAGGGGCGUGAGGUUAGCCGUUCUUGGUGAGGUUAGCCUAUAGCAGGUAAUUAGCACAUCACACCAGCAGGCCCGAGCCAGCAAAGAACUCAGCCGCAGAACAAUACCACACCAGAGAAAGGCUCGCAAAAACUACACCGCUACCAGCCACGUUAGCACCAAUCAUCGCCAACUAUCCGAGUCAACAAUCAAGGAGGAACAUCGUAGAAUGUGGAUAAGCGUAAACGAUUUUUUAUGAGCUAUAUCUUAAUUUAAGAGUACACAGUAAAGGAAUGUUAAUUUCUUAGUUUUAGCAGUACUUGUUUGAACUCUUCGUACACAUCAUUGCUCAAUUUUGAGGUUCUUUUCAUAGAAAAUAAAGACCAGAACGCCGCAUAACUAGUUCCCAGUAUAUUUGCACAAACAGAUCACAUGUGCAGAUAGGUUUAAGUCUUAAAACAAAACACAAAGUGCAGUAUGACAUGAAUAUAAUUCUUGCUUAAAAAAAUACAUAGUUUAAUUUAAAAAAACUAGCAGCAAUAUCCUUCUAAAAAUAUCAUAUACAGAACGUUAUUUAUGGCGAAACUUCCGUAUUUAGUCGACACGUCUGAAACGAUACAACAACAUUGUGAUAGAGUCUUGGGUUUUAUUAUAAAGGCAUAUCGCGUGCUUGUAAACAUGAGUUUUUCGUUGACGCUCUUUCGUGGUGGCUGGUUAGCUAUUUCAAUAUGAGUUCAUUAGCAUACACGUGCAUACAACGGUGCAAUAGAAGAAAGCGUGUUACUUGUUUUGUUGGUGUGAUCAUCCUGCUGCUAUUAACCUUAGUUUUGGCGAACAGAUUGCUUACAAAUAGCCAACUAGAGUGUGAAGAACUUAGUGGAUCAUUCUCAAAUAAAGUAACUGUUACUGACACCGCAAAUGCAUAUGUUCCAAAGUAUGUUCCAGAAGCAAU